GCCGGGCGUUGUGGCAGGCACCUGUGGUCCCAGCUACUUGGGAGGCUGAGGCAGGAGACUGGCUUGAGCCCAGGAGUUGGAGGUUGCUGUGAGCUGUGAUGCCAUGGCACUCUACCCAGGGGGACAGCUUGAGGCUCUGUCUCAAAAAAAAAAAAAAAAAGUAUAUUCAUGAUCUAUGUGUAUAAGUCUUCUUUUUUUGAGACAGAGCCUUAAGCUGUCACCCUGGGUAGAAUGCCGUGGCGUCACAGCUCACAGCAACCUCCAACUCCUGGGCUUAAGUGAUUCUCUUGCCUCAG
rfam:Otolemur garnettii contig133547, whole genome shotgun sequence.